rnacentral:rRNA from 1 species
GGACUACUGGGGUAUCUAAUCCCGUUUGCUCCCCUGGCUUUCGUGCCUCAGCGUCAGUAGGGAUCCAGCGCGCCGCUUUCGCCACCGGUGUUCCUUCCGAUAUCUACGCAUUUCACCGCUCCACCGGAAGUUCCGCACGCCCCUAUCCCCCUCGAGGCUCGCGGUAUCAGAGGCACUUCCACGGUUGGGCCGUGGGAUUUCACCCCUGACUCGCGUGCCCGCCUACGCACCCUUUAAGCCCAGUGAUUCCGAAUAACGUUCGCUCGGUUCGUCUUACCGCGGCGGCUGGCAC